rnacentral:rRNA from 1 species
GACGAACGCUGGCGGCGUGCCUAAUACAUGCAAGUAGAACGCACAGUUUAUACCGUAGCUUGCUACACCAUAGACUGUGAGUUGCGAACGGGUGAGUAACGCGUAGGUAACCUGCCUGGUAGCGGGGGAUAACUAUUGGAAACGAUAGCUAAUACCGCAUAAUAUUAAUUAUUGCAUGAUAAUUAAUUGAAAGGUGCAAUUGCACCACUACCAGAUGGACCUGCGUUGUAUUAGCUAGUAGGUGAGGUAACGGCUCACCUAGGCGACGAUACAUAGCCGACCUGAGAGGGUGAUCGGCCACACUGGGACUGAGACACGGCCCAGACUCCUACGGGGGGCAGCAGUAGGGAAUCUUCGGCAAUGGACGAAAGUCUGACCGAGCAACGCCGCGUGAGUGAAGAAGGUUUUCGGGUCGUAAAGCUCUGUUGUAAGAGAAGAACGGGUGUGAGAGUGGAAAGUUCACACUGUGACGGUAUCUUACCAGAAAGGGACGGCUAACUACGUG